AAUAGAUACCCCGGUAGUCCACGCCGUAAACGAUGAGUGCUAAGUGUUAGGGGGUUUCCGCCCCUUAGUGCUGCAGCUAACGCAUUAAGCACUCCGCCUGGGGAGUACGGUCGCAAGACUGAAACUCAAAGGAAUUGACGGGGGCCCGCACAAGCGGUGGAGCAUGUGGUUUAAUUCGAAGCAACGCGAAGAACCUUACCAGGUCUUGACAUCCCAUUGACCACUAUGGAGACAUAGUUUUCCCUUCGGGGACAACGGUGACAGGUGGUGCAUGGUUGUCGUCAGCUCGUGUCGUGAGAUGUUGGGUUAAGUCCCGCAACGAGCGCAACCCUUGUUCUUAGUUGCCAUCAUUUAGUUGGGCACUCUAAGGAGACUGCCGGUGACAAACCGGAGGAAGGUGGGGAUGACGUCAAAUCAUCAUGCCCCUUAUGACCUGGGCUACACACGUGCUACAAUGGACGGUCAAACGGUUGCCAACCGCGAGGGGGAGCUAAUCCGAUAAAACCGUUCUCAGUUCGGAUUGUAGGCUGCAACUCGCCUACA
rnacentral:rRNA from 1 species